AGAGUUUGAUCAUGGCUCAGGAUGAACGCUGGCGGUAUGUUUAAGGCAUGCAAGUCUAUCGUGUAUCUUCGGAUAUGCGAGGCAAACGGGAGAGUAACACAUUGGUAACUCACCCCUGGUUCAAGUAUAACUUCGUGAAAACGGAGACAAUCCUUGAUAGUCCAUUAUUUACGAGAGAUCGUAUUUAAUGGUAAAGGUCCGCCGACCAGGGAGAGGCCUAUGGCUUAUCAGCUUGUUGGUGAGGUAAGAGCUCACCAAGGCUUUGACGAGUAGCGGGCGUAAGAGCGUGGCCCGUCCCACUGGGACUGAGACACUGCCCAGACUCCUACGGGAGGCUGCAGUCAAGAAUCUUUCGCAAUGGCCGAAAGGCUGACGGAGCAAUACCGCGUGAAGGAAGACACCUUUCGGGGCGUAAACUUCUUUUCUCAGGGAAGAAUUCGUGACGUUACCUGAGGAAUAAGCGACUGCUAACUUCGUGCCAGCAGCAGCGGUAAUACGAAGGUCGCAAGCGUUAUCCGGAAUUAUUGGGCGUAAAGCGUCUGUAGGUGGUUUGUUAAGUCUCAAAUUAAAUCUCUAGGCUCAACCUAGAGCUCGUUUGAGAAACUAAUAAACUAGAGGAUGGAAGAGGCAAACGGAAUGGCUGGUGUAGUAGUAAUAUGCAUUGAUAUCAGCUAGAACACCAAAUGCGAAGGCAGUUUGCUAGAACAUUCCUGACACUGAGAGACGAAAGCGUGGGUAGCGAAUGGGAUUAGAUA
rnacentral:rRNA from 1 species